rnacentral:rRNA from 1 species
GAUGAACGCUAGCUACAGGCUUAACACAUGCAAGUCGCGGGGCAGCAUGGGGGUUGCUUGCAAUCCCCGAUGGCGACCGGCGCACGGGUGAGUAACGCGUAUCCAACCUGCCCUUCACCACGGGAUAACCCGGCGAAAGUCGGACUAAUACCGUAUGUUGUCCAUUGACGGCAUCCGAUUUGGACGAAAGGUUUGGCGGUGAAGGAUGGGGAUGCGUCCGAUUAGCUGGACGGCGGGGUGACGGCCCACCGUGGCGACGAUCGGUAGGGGUUCUGAGAGGAAGGUCCCCCACACUGGAACUGAGACACGGUCCAGACUCCUACGGGAGGCAGCAGUGAGGAAUAUUAGUCAAUGGGCGUAAGCCUGAACCAGCCAAGUAGCGUGCAGGAUGACGGCCCUAUGGGUUGUAAACUGCUUUUAUGCGGGGAUAAAGUGGCCCACGUGUGGGUUUUUGCAGGUACCGCAUGAAUAAGGACCGGCUAAUUCCGUG